CCAACCCUAAUCAUAUAAACAUCUCCCUCAUUAUGACCUUGUCCACCCAUUAGACCAGUAAUUUCUCACCGCCAUGUGCUCGUACUCUGCUAGUGGAGUUCACAUGAGACAAAAGUAUUCUGAGAGAUCUCAGCCUCCAAAAGGAAACAAAAGAAGAAGAGAGAGACAACUUUCUCUAAGCUCACAGAAAGACCAGAAGUUAGAGAUUCCUUUUCUCUCAUAACCUGUAGGCCAGCCACUGGAACUAGCAAACCUGGUUGUCUGCUCGCUUAACUCUCCUUUCGUUGAACCGACGAGAGAAGUUAACUUUGAAUCCAUACAAAAGGGAGGUCAGUGAGAGGGAGUAUGGGGUAUCUCAGAGUAGUCGCAGCGGUUUGGAUGGCUCUUCUCGCGCUUCCAGUCCUCUCCUUCCUCCAUCAACAACCUACAGCUGCUGGCGCCAUCAGGCUGCACGAUGACCGGAGACCGACGCCGGUUAGAGGAACGAGUACAACGACGACGGAUGGGAUGCCUUGGUGGUGGAAUCAGGAUUACGCUCGUGUAAGCGAUCGAAGACCCAUUAACAACAGGUUCAUUCCAUGAGUGGAAGAGGGCGAGAACUUAGUAUCUCGUAAGUUGCACUGAUAGAAAUCUGCAGUUCAUAUAGUACGUAUAGUUUUGGGUUAGCAGUUCUCAUAUAUUCUCAAGAUGUUUAGUACGUGAAUGCAAUACUUAACUCAAUCCCAUGGAAAAAGGAAUACAGUGUUCUUGA